GACAAAUUGGAAUGUGUGAGGAAUUUGGAGACCUUAUGAAGAGGAUACCACUUGAUUUACUGCAAGGAAACAAAUUUCGUAAAGCGGCAAUUGAUUGCAUUAAGCCUCUUCUAGCCUUUAUAUCCAGAGUCGGAUACUGAAACAUGUUGGUGAUUUGGUAGCUGUGGCUUCAUUGACAGAUGAAGCUAGGUGUAUGGAUCUUGCAGAUCGCUAUGUAAACAGUUAAUCUGUGAAGCGAAUGUUGCAGUCUGAUCAGGUGGCUUUGGCAGGAAAAACUGCUGUUUUGUUCACGAAAGAUGGGGGCCAGCACAACAACCUUCAUGACAUGCAGUGCAUGUGGUAUGAACUUGCUUCUGAUGAAAGUUACUUUCGACAUGGUGAUUUUGGACGGGCCCUAGAGAAAUUUAUAGCUGUGGAGAAGCACUAUGCUGAUAUUACUGAAGAUCAAUUUGAUUUCCAUUCUUAUUGUUUGCGGAAAAUGGCACCACGUGCAUAUGUUGGAAAGCUAAAAUUUAAAGAUUGGUUGCAUUCACAUGCUUAUUUUCACAAAGUAGCAGCUGGAGCCAUUAGGAGCUGACCUCAACCUCUGGACCUUGUGAUCCUUUAUGUUGAGUUGAUGAAGCUAGCUCGUUAGAUUUCGAAGUUACUUACCAGCCAAAGACUAAUUUGUUGAAAACUAUUGGUGUUUUCACAGCAGCUUUAACAGGGACUGUGGCAAUUAACCUAUCAUGGGUUACCAACAUCCAGGAUAUGCAGGCAUUAUCUUUGAAGAAUUUCUAGCCUUCAAUAAAAGUGGAAUAGACUGUUGAUGGCUGUGAGUUUAUGGGUGGUAAGGAGCAUAGGGGCUCCUUCAAUUGAUUUAGCGUUUCAGAGCUGAAACAUGCAUCUGCUGAAUCGUUUUUUCUUGCUUGGUGCAAUGACCAUUGUAGAGAUAGUUGAUGCCCCUCAAGGAUAUGAGCUGGUUACUGACAAUAUAACCACUCUAAAGUCAUGGACUCUACUUUGGGUGGUGAGUUGAUUUCUUUCGACUAUAGUCAUACUGACAAUUUUAUCAUUAAUGGUUAAUAUAUGAAUCUAAUUGAGAGUUCAGUUGCGCGGUGAAGCAUACCCUGUGGCCUAAUUUACCCGCCGAUCGUGAAAUUUGUCUAGUGGGUAUAAACCAAUGAUGUAGAUGAUUACAACUGAUAAGAUGGAUUCAGAAGAAUCUUAAAUGUGCAUACUUAUGUGUCAUAGCUAAAGUUAUUAACCUGCCGAAGAAAAUUGGAGAAAGGAUAAAAAAAAAAUGCAAAAGUUAUGUUAAAGUAUUCAUUAGUUGCUUUUCAUGAUUCAAGUCCAAUCUCACCUCUUGGAAAUUAAAAAAUUAAGCUCUUAAAAUUUUUAAAUCUUGACCCAUUCAUGUCCCAAACCAGUGCACUAGAAGAGCCUUUGUAGUUAAUUUUCAAUUAUAAGAUAAAGAUUUGAUGUUGCAACUUAAUCAAAAAGACCUUAAUUAUGUCUUACCUUGAAGAAUAAAGCAGACGAUGGCCUUUAGUAUUUGCCCUAAGCCUUAUUUGUAAAUAUUCUUGUUUGAUUAAAAUCUCUUUUAGCAUUUGCCAAUCAAUAGGUGUUAGUAUUUUGGAUUUUUUUGAUGGUAUAGGAUUUUUGUAAUUAUCAUUGAGAAACUACUUUUUUAGGAAGAUCAAUUAUCAUUUAAUGUUUUGCUCAUAGAAAUCUAUUAAUUUUUGCAUUAAUGAUACUAAAAUGGAGAGAGGUUAUCUAGGUGAGUACAAAUACCAAUAUUUUCAUCAUGUUUAUUUAUGGCAUUGGUUGUAAAGUAGUGGGAUAUUCACAGAACAAAUGUAAUUUUUUUAAUGGAUUUUUUUUUUUGGUUCCAAAGGAACUUAUAGAGGCGACUGCUUUGCGAUACCAUAUGUUGAAUGAUAUGCCACUUCAAAAGAAAGCUUACCUCUUUUCAUAUUGUAUUAUCUAAAACUCUAAAUAUGUGUCUUUUUUCGUCUUUCAUUAGAUGUGUGUUCUCAUUGAGUUUUUCUUAUGUUAUGUUAUGAUUAUUCAUUGAGAAAGUAAGUUAAUGUUGUCUUAAGGUUAGGGUUAGUCUUUAACAGUAUAAGGAAUGAGUUGGUAAUGAAUGUGGUUAGCUGUUGCUUUAUUCAUUUCUUAUUGCCUUACUUUUACUUUAUUUGCUAGCUGUCCUUGUCUUCAUUUUGUUUACUUGCUGCAUUGGUUUUGAUCAGUUUUGGCUUGCUUUUUUUGUAGUUGUUGCAUGGCCCCCAAGUUCUUCUAUUUUUAUUUCUCAAAUAGCAUUGUUAUAGUUAUACUUGGGGGAAACACUAAAAUUAUCCUAUGGCAUGACAAUUGUGUUUAACUUAACUAGUAUGUAAUUGUUAUAUGACACGUUGAAUGGAAACAAUAAUAUCCCUAAGCAUCUCUAUAGAUGUCUUUUCUUGUUGAGAUUUUGUUUUCUUGUUCGGUUUUGGUCCACUAAGAUUAUUUGGUUCCAUGACAAUUGCAUUUGGCUCUUUGAAAUGGAAACAUAAUAUUCCUAAGCAUUUCUGUCGAUAUCUUUUCUCAUUAAGAUUUUGUUAUAUCAGAUUCUUCUUGUUUCAUUUUUUCAUUUUUUGUGUACAUGAGUUGAGUUUUGUAAUUUUGCUUUUGAAAAAAUCUUUUGAUUGUGGUUUCGUAAGUAUGAUUGUUAUUUGGUAGUCUCUAUGGAGCUCAAUGGAUUGUGUGCUUGCAAGCUUGCAAAGAUGGGAAGAAUUAGAGAUUCAAGUUUGUAUAACUGUUGCAUGUUAGGAGUUAGUUAUUUUUUGUUGGUUCAACUUUAUUGCUUGAUGGACUAAUUUCUUAGAUUUAAUUUCUGAAACUAAGUUCCACCAAACCCAAAGGUUGAGUGUUAAAAGGAAGAUUCCUUGCCUCUUUUGUUAUUGGAGUUAGUUAUCAUCUUUGGCCAUUCAUAGUUUUCGUUUUUUUCUCAUUGAGGCUUUGUUAUGUCAUGUUUUGAUUUUUCUUGUGACACGUUUAUCUAUAUUAGUUUAGUUUUUGAAAUUUAACUUUUUGAAAAACCCUUAGUUGUGGCUUUUUAAGUGUGGAUAUUAUUUAGUAGUUGUCUGCUCUAAGCGAAUGGCUUGCAUGAUAAGGAGGAAUUCAAUUUCUGUGCCUCUUGUGUAUGUAUAUUUUGUAAGUUUCUUGUUUUGUUUGUUACAAUCUCUUUGUUGUAGGAUAGAAUAGUUUCUUUCUUUUAAUUUCUGAAACUUAAUUUUGACGAGGAUAGAAAAUGCUUCUUAAAAAGAAUAUUAUCUGUAUGGGCUGUGUGCUCUAAGCAAAUGGCUUGCAGUAUAAGGUCAAUUCAAUUUUUGGGCAUCUUGUGUGUGUAGGCGUCUUUUGAGAAUUUUUUGUUGUGUUGGUUUCACUCUGUUUGUUAGGUUAAAUUUUUAAAACUUAAUUUUGACAUGCAUUGGGCUUGAAUGCUUAAAAGGAAGAUUAUUUUUUUUUGUUGGAUUCUUUUAAACUUUAAAUAUAUGUUGUCAUAGGCUCUCAGUUGGUAUCUUUCUCGUUGAGAUUGUGUCUUGAUUCUUCUUGUUUCAUUUUUAAACUUUUACAUAAAUUAGGGCUUUGUAACUUUACUUUGAAAAAUUUCUUGGGUUCUUCUUCCUUUAGUGUGGUUCCUGAUUCGUUGGUCUCUGUGAAACUUAUGCGCUAUGUGCUCCAAGAACCACUUGCAGUGUAGGGAGAAUUAAGGAUUCUAAAGUUGUAUGUGUGUAGGAUUUAAGGAUUAAAAAUUUGUGUGGUUGUGUAUGGGAGUUUCCUUGUUUUUCUCUUUGUGUGCUCUAAGCUAAUGGCUCGCAUGAUUAGCUGAAUUCAAUUUCUGUGCCUGAUGUGUGUAGGUGUAUUUUGAGAGUUUUUUGUUUUGUUGAUUUCACUCUAUUUGUUACAAAACAGGUUGAUUUGUUGGGUUAAAUUUCUGAAACUUAAUUUUGACAUGCAUCGUGGUCAAAUGUUUAAAAGGAAGAUUAUUUCCUUUUGCUGGAUUCUUUGAAACUCUCAAUAUGUGUAUGGGAGUUUCCUUGUUUUGUAGUGUAGGGGAAAUUAAUGAUUCUAAAUUUUUAUGGUUGUGUAGCAUUUAAAGAUUAAAAAUUUAUGUGACUGAGUAUGAGAGUUUUUCUGUUGUUUUUCUCCUUGUGUGCUUCAAGCAUUGAAUUCAAUUUCUGUGCCUCUUGUGUGUGUAGGUAUGUGUUUAGGGAGGUUUUUAUUUUGUUGGUUUCACUCUAUUUGUUACAGGGCAGAUUGGUUUGCUAGGUUCAAUUUCUGUAAUUUAAUUUUGACAUGCAUUGUGGUUGAAUGCUUGAAAGGAAGAAUAUUUCUUUUUGUUGGAUUCUAUGAAACUCUAAAUAUAUGUUGUCAUAGGCUCUCGGUGUCUUUCUCAUUGAGAUUGUCUCUGGAUUCUUCUUGUGUCAUUUUUAAAUUUUUACAUAAAUUAAGGCUUUGUAACUUUACUUUGAAAAAUUUCUUGGGUUGUUCUUCCUUUAGUGUGGUUUGUGAUUCGUUGGUCUCUAUGAAACGUAUGCGCUAUGUGCUCCAAGAACGACUUGCAUUGUAAGGGAAAUUAAGGAUUCUAAAGUUGUAUGUGUGUAGGAUUUAAGGAUUAAAAAUUUGUGUGGCUGUGUAUGUGAGUUUCCUUGUUUUUCUCUUUGUGUGCUCUAAGCUAAUGGCUUGCAUGAUUAGCUGAAUUCAAUUUCUGUGCCUGAUGUGUGUAGGUGUAUUUUGAGAGUUUUUUGUUUUGUUGAUUUCACUCUGUUUGUUACAGAACAGGUUGGUUUGUUGGGUUCAAUUUUUGAAACUUAAUUUUGACAUGCAUUGUGGUAAAAUGUUUAAAAGGAGGAUUAUUUUCUUUUGCUGGAUUCUUUGAAACUCUAAAUAUGUGUAUGGGAGUUUCCUUGUUGUUUUGUAGUGUAAGGAGAAUUAGGGAUUCUAAAUUUUUAUGGUUGUGUUGCAUUUAAAGAUUAAAAAUUUAUGUGGCUGUGUAUAAGAUUUUUCUUGUUGUUUUUUUCCAUGUGUGCUUCAAGCAGCGAAUUCAAUUUCUGUGCCUCUUGUGUGUGUAGGUAUGUGUUUAGAGAGGUUUUUAUUUUGUUGGUUUCACUUUAUUUGUUACAAGGCAGAUUGGUUUGCUAGGUUCAAUUUCUGUAAUUUAAUUGACAUGCAUUGUGGUUGAAUGCUUAAAAGGAAGAUUAUUUUCUUUUGCUGGAUUCUUUGAAACUCUAAAUAUAUGUUGUCAUAGGCUCUCAGUUGGUGUCUUUCUCAUUGAGAUUGUGUCUUGAUUCUUCUUGUUUCAUUUUUAAACUUACAUAAAUUAGGGCUUUGUAACUUUACUUUGAAAAAUUCCUUGGGUUGUAUUUUAGUGUGGUUUGUGAUUCUUUAGUCUCUAUGAAACUUAUGCGCUAUGUGCUCUAUGUGCUCCAAGAAUGACUUGUAGUAUAUGGAGAAUUAAGGAUUCUAAAGUUGUAUGUGUAUAGGAUUUAAGGAUUAAAAAUUUGUGUGACUGUGUAUAGGAGUUUUCUUGUUUUUCUCGUUGUGUGCUCUAAGUUAAUGGGUUGCAUGAUUAGUUGAAUUCAAUUUCUGUGCCUGAUGUGUGUGUAGGUGUAUUUUGAGAGUUUUUUGUUUUGUUGAUUUCACUCUGUUACAGAACAGGUUGUUUGUUGGGUUCAAUUUUUGAAAUUUAAUUUUGACAUGCAUUGUGGUAAAAUGUUUAAAAGGAAGAUUAUUUUCUUUUGUUGGAUUCUUUGGAACUCUCAAUAUGUGUAUGGGAGUUUCCUUGUUUUGUAGUGUAGGGGGAAUUAAUGAUUCUAAAUUUCUAUGGUUGUGUAGCAUUUAAGGAUUAAAAAUUUAUGUGACUAUGUGUAUGGGAGUUUUCCUGUUUUUCUCCUUGUGUGUUUCAAGCAGUAAAUUUAAUUUCUGUGCCUCUUGUGUGUGUAGGUAUGUGUUUAGGGAAGAUUUUAUUUUGUUGGUUUCACUCUAUUUGUUACAGAGCAGAUUGGUUUGUUAGGUUCAAUUUAUGUAAUUUAAUUUUGAUAUGCAUUGUGAUUGAAUGCUUAAAAGGAAGAUUAUUUCCUUUUGCUGAAUUCUUUGGAACUCUAAAUAUGUGUAUAGGAGUUUCCUUGUUUUGUAGUGUAGGGAGAAUUAAGGAUUCUAAAUUUCUAUGGUUGUGUAGCAUUUAAGGAUUAAAAAUUUAUGUGGCUAUGUGUAUGGGAGUUUCCCUGUUGUUUUUCUCUUUGUGUGUUUCAAGCAGUGAAUUUAAUUUUUGUGCCUCUUGUGUGUGUAGGUAUGUGUUUAGGGAGGGUUUUAUUUUGUUGGUUUCACUCUAUUUGUUACAGGGCAGAUUGAUUUGUUAGGUUCAAUUUAUGUAAUUUAAUUUUGACAUGCAUUGUGAUUGAAUGCUUAAAAGGAAGAUUAUUUUCUUUUGCUGAAUUUUUUGAAACUCUAAUUAUAUGUUGUUAUAGGCUCUCAGUUGGUGUCUUUCUUAUUGAGAUUGUCUUUGGAUUCUUCUUGUGUCAUUUUUAAACUUUUACAUAAAUUAGGGUUUUGUAAUUUUACUUUGAAAAAUUUCCUUGGGUUGUGAUGUGAUGGUCUGUUUGAAACUUGAUGCGCUGUGUGGUCCAAGAAUGACUUGCAGGGGAAUUAUGAAUUCUAAAUUUGUAUGACUGUGUGUAAGAUUUAAGGAUUAAAAAUGUGUGGCUCUGUGUAUGAGAGUUUUCUUCUUGUUUUUCUCUCUAUGGCAUGACAGAUGAGGUUCUUAGGUUUCACUGGCUUGGCUUUUUUAGUUAUUGAUGAUGUUAAACUUUUUAUUGUGGUUGCAUCUAAUUUGAUGAAGUUGUUUGAUAAUGCAUUAGGAGAAUGUUACUGCAAAAAAAAUUCCUGGGUUGUGGUUUUUUCAUUCAUGAGUGUGCCUAGUUAUCAUCUGUUUGUCUCUUUGAAGCUUAAUGGGCUAUGUGCUCCAAGCAUACCUUGUAGGAUAGAAGGAAUUAAAGUUUCAAAAUUUUUAUGUCUGUGUUUGUUGGUUUUAUUCUGCAAGUUGGCUUCUAGAUUUCAUUCCUAUAGCUUCUGGAUAAUGUCUAAUUUUUUGUUGUAGUGCUUUUGACUUGCCGGAGUUUGAUUUGAACUUCAAUUAAUAUUUGAUCUCUUAUGCUUUAACAUUCCAUUUAAAUUUUAGUUUUAUUUUUUGUGUACAGAUUGUAGUUUUGUAAACUUUUCUUAAUUGUGGUUGCAUUUAGUAGUCUAUACGAAAAUUAGUUAAUCGUGUACUUCGAACACGAUUUGCUAGAGAGAGGAAUUAAAAAUUGUAUAGCAGUGUACUCCAAAUUUGUAUGGUUGAGUUUUCUAUUUUUUUAUUUUGUUAGUUCAACUCUGUUGCAUGACAAAUUGUAAUCUUAAGUUUAAUUUCAAAAACUUAAUCCAACCUCGCACUGAGGAUGAGUGCUUACAAUGAAGAGUACCUCUUUUUUCUUGUGUUGUGUUUGAAUAAAAUAAUAAGCAAUAAAAAAAAUA